rnacentral:lncRNA from 1 species
UCAAUAACAAAUCAAAUCAUCCAUACAAAGCUUAGCUAAAGCUUCAUCUCAUCCGAACAACACAGAAAGUUUAGCUACUCAUGGUUCCGGAAAAUAAAUCACAAGAGAAGAGAAGAAAAACCGGAGAAGACGACAUGCUCUUCGUGGAAAUCCCAAUCUUCGACUUGAUGAUUUGCCCUUCGCCAGUCGUGGUUGAUCCUCUCGCUUCAAUCGUCUCUCUGGAACUCUAGCUCUCUCCAAGAGCUCGAAAAUAUGUGUAUAAUGAAGUAUAUCCCGUCCUCGGGGGUCUCUGGGUAUUUAUAGGGUUCUGGACCAUGUUGGAGAAGGAAAAGGACUUGAAAACC